AGGGCACCACCAGGAGUGGAGCCUGCGGCUUAAUUUGACUCAACACGGGAAAACUCACCCGGCCCGGACACUGGAAGGAUUGACAGAUUGAGAGCUCUUUCUUGAUUCAGUGGGUGGUGGUGCAUGGCCGUUCUUAGUUGGUGGAGUGAUUUGUCUGGUUAAUUCCGAUAACGAACGAGACUCUAGCCUACUAAAUAGAUCGUCGGCUUACAAACGCCGGCGAGACUUCUUAGAGGGACAGGCGGUGAUUCAACCGCACGAAACAGAGCAAUAACAGGUCUGUGAUGCCCUUAGAUGUCCGGGGCCGCACGCGCGCUACACUGAAGUGAUCAGCGUGCUUUUUCAACCUACUCUGUCAAGAGUGGGGAACCCAAUGAACCUUCUUCGUGAUUGGGAUAGGGGAUUGUAAUUAUUCCCCUUGAACGAGGAAUUCCCAGUAAGCGCGAGUCAUAAGCUCGCGUUGAUUACGUCCCUGCCCUUUGUACACACCGCCCGUCGCUACUGCCGAUUGAAUGUUUU
rnacentral:rRNA from 1 species